rnacentral:rRNA from 1 species
UACGUAGGGCGCAAGCGUUGUUCGGAAUCACUGGGCGUAAAGCGCGUGUAGGCGGCUUGGCAAGUCGGAUGUGAAAUCCCGAGGCUCAACCUCGGAACUGCACUCGAAACUGCCUGGCUCGAGUCCCGGAGAGGGUGGCGGAAUUCCCGGUGUAGGGGUGAAAUCCGUAGAUAUCUGGAGGAACACCAGUGGCGAAGGCGGCCACCUGGACGGUGACUGACGCUGAGUCGCUAAAGCCGUGGGAGCAAACAGG